UGGUCGCCGGGCUGAUGUACCUGACAGAGAAAGACAAGCACAUACAAUUAUACACCUGUAUUCAAAUCUUUAAUCUUAUUGCAUUUUCAGCAUACCAAAAUUUAUAUACUUGCAAAUCUCAAGUUUUCUUACAAUAAAUAUUUUACUACAUUAUUUGUUUUUAUUUUUAUAUAUGAGACAUUCUAGGUUUCAAUGCUUUGUGAUAUACAUAAUUUAAUUGAUUCCAUUAGGCAUUCUUUAUUGUGAACCGCUGAUGGCUCAGCAUGAGUUUACAUGCAUAAUCAAAGGCUGAUCAAAUCAUCAAUGGCUUUUAUUUUAAAAGCAAGCAUCGACAGUAGUUGCUUAGAAUAAGAGAUAUCAAACUUACGCUGUUUUCUUUUUUUAUACUAAUGUUGCAUUCAUUUUGCCCCUAUACAAAAAUUAAGGGUGAGCGUUGUCCACGCGAUUUAAUUUAUCUGUGUACACAAGUUCAUUAAAAUUGUUGCGCGAAAAGUUUAAUUGUAAAAGAAGGGAGACAAAUCAUAAAAUUUUAUUUAUAGUAGAAAUAUGCACGAAACUCUUACUAAUUCAUAUUAAUUUUUUCCGAAAUGUUUCUCGGGUAAAAUCGUUUUGCUUUGCUAAGUUGGAGAAACCCAAAUACUCAAGAGAUUAAUGUUUGUUUUGCAGCAGUGCUUAUACUUAUAUGGUAUCAGAAAAUGAUUUAGUCCGGAUGGAAUAUUUUUGUUUCCUGAAAAUGCGAAAAGUUGUGCAUUUGUUUUCACUGUAUAGAUCUCUACUUUUGAAAAAUAGAAAUAUAGCGCAACUGAGAGCGGCGAGUCCUGAGCUCUUAAGUUCGUUAAGUACUAUGUGAAUACCAACUCUAUCUUCACAUGCAUGAAAUCCAAGCAAGCGAACGGCGUAGUUUUCAACAGCACUACAGAAACCAUAACAUUACAGGAUGAAAUUUAAUGUAUUCGACCUAAAUGUAAUGCCAAAAAUUAUUCUUCAAUGGAACAUUGAAAUUGUAUAUAAAAGCAUAACAUAAUACCUCAAGUCAGUGAUGCUUGAAGAUAAUGUAGUUUAGACGCCAGUUUAGUAGCCCCACUACUAAAAUCACUAAUUAAUGUAUGGAAAAUUCCUAUUUCGUUAAUGCUUUUGAAAAUAUAACUUCGUAUAUUUUUAAUGCUAUCAAUUUUAUUAUUUACUAUUUUUACUUAAAUAUAAGGUAUAUAAAAAAAAUAUUUUAAC